rnacentral:rRNA from 1 species
GAUCCUGGCUCAGAUUGAACGCUGGCGGCAUGCCUUACACAUGCAAGUCGAACGGUAACAGGUCUUCGGAUGCUGACGAGUGGCGAACGGGUGAGUAAUACAUCGGAACGUGCCCGAGAGUGGGGGAUAACGGAGCGAAAGCUUUGCUAAUACCGCAUACGAUCUACGGAUGAAAGCAGGGGACCGCAAGGCCUUGCGCUCAUGGAGCGGCCGAUGGCAGAUUAGGUAGUUGGUGGGAUAAAGCUUACCAAGCCGACGAUCUGUAGCUGGUCUGAGAGGACGACCGGCCACACUGGGACUGAGACACGGCCCAGACUCCUACGGGAGGCAGCAGUGGGGAAUUUUGGACAAUGGGCGAAAGCCUGAUCCAGCCAUGCCGCGUGCAGGAUGAAGGCCUUCGGGUUGUAAACUGCUUUUGUACGGAACGAAAAGACUCUGGUUAAUACCUGGGGUCCAUGACGGUACCGUAAGAAUAAGCACCGGCUAACUACGUG